UACGUAGGGUGCAAGCGUUGUCCGGAAUUAUUGGGCGUAAAGAGCUCGUAGGCGGUCUGUCACGUCGGCUGUGAAAACCUGGGGCUCAACUCCGGGCCUGCAGCCGAUACGGGCAGACUAGAGUUCGGCAGGGGAGACUGGAAUUCCUGGUGUAGCGGUGAAAUGCGCAGAUAUCAGGAGGAACACCGGUGGCGAAGGCGGGUCUCUGGGCCGAAACUGACGCUGAGGAGCGAAAGCGUGGGGAGCAAACAGG
rnacentral:rRNA from 1 species